rnacentral:lncRNA from 1 species
CCAGGAUUAAUUUGAAGGACUUAUAUAGUAAUAUAGCUUUAUCAGUAUUAAAUAUCUCAAUGAUUUUAGGAUUUAACAUUUUUUUCUAGAGGUUAGUGAUGUAUAAACCAGGGCGAUUAACUCACUAACUGAAUAAAGUCCCUUGGUAAUGUUUGUGAGUUUGAAAAAUGUCUUUAAUCCUUAUAAUUCUUAAACCAAAUCUGAGAAUACUAUAACAGUUACACAUAUAUAUAUAUAUGUGUUAUAGUAGUCUCAGAACAAACAGGUG